rnacentral:rRNA from 1 species
UACAGAGGGUGCAAGCGUUGUUCGGAAUUACUGGGCGUAAAGGGUGCGCAGGCGGUCUCGUAAGCUGGGUGUGAAAGCCCCGGGCUUAACCUGGGAAUGGCAUUCAGGACUGCGAGGCUUUGAGUGCGGCAGAGGGAGGUGGAAUUCCACGUGUAGCAGUGAAAUGCGUAGAGAUGUGGAGGAACACCGAUGGCGAAGGCAGCCUCCUGGGCCAGCACUGACGCUCAUGCACGAAAGCGUGGGGAGCAAACAGG